AUUGAACGCUGGCGGCAGGCCUAACACAUGCAAGUCGAACGAGUGGCGGACGGGUGAGCAAUGUCUGGGAAACGGCCUGAUGGAGGGGGAUCACUACUGGAAACGGUAGCUAAUAACGCAUACCAUCGGAUGUGCCCAGAUGGGAUUAGCUAGUAGGUGGGGGAAAGGCUCACCUAGGCGACGAUCCCUAGCUGGUCUGAGAGGAUGAACAUCCACACUGGAACUGAGACACGGUCCAGACUCCUACGGGAGGCAGCAGUGGGGAAUAUUGGACAAUGGGCGAAAGCCUGAUGCAGCCAUGCCGCGUGUGUGAAGAAGGUCUUCGGGUUGUAAAGUACUUUCAGCGGGGAGGCGUUACCCGCAGAAGAAGCACCGGCUAACUCCGUGCCAGCAGCCGCGGUAAUUC
rnacentral:rRNA from 1 species